ACGCUCGACACCCUACGGGAGGCAGCAGUCGGGAAUAUUGCGCAAUGGAGGAAACUCUGACGCAGUGACGCCGCGUAUGGGAAGAAGGUUUUCGGAUUGUAAACCAUUUUAGACAAGGAAGAAACAAGACAGUACUUGUAGAAUAAGCUCCGGCUAACUACGUGCCAACAGCCGCGGUAAUCUGAGCGGGCUGGCAAGGC
rnacentral:rRNA from 1 species